CUUUCGUCCAUCCCCAUCAUUCACUGCCAGUGUUUGCUCAGCUGGGCCCUGGUUUUCCCACAACAUAUUCACGGCACAGCCGCAGAGCAAAUGCUGGUGUCCGUGAAUCACUCUGACUCGUUCACAUGCCUACAUGCUCACCAGCCCAUCUGCCCAAAAGGCAACUCUGUUUAGCUUUGAGAUCUGGGUUGCCUUCUGAGAAAACGGUGCUUGUUUUUGUGUCAGCCCAGCACCGAGACAUCUGAUUCUACUUAUCAAGCUCUUGAUUGAACACCACGAUUAGUGAAUUAGUAGAAUCAGGUGUCGUGGAGCUGGCUAAAACAAAAACCUGCACCCACAAUGGCCCUUUUUCCGGAAAAGAUUGGACACCUCUGCUAUAGAUGAUGAAAAUUCUAGCAACGUGACCACAGGCUCUGUGCAAUGAUUUGAUAGAUGUAUCAUUUUGGAGGUAUUCACAUCGAUGUGGCAGCAGUGGUAGAGCCUUGCACAAGUCUUCUUUUUUUGAGCAAAUCCUCCCUCACAUUACAGCCAAGUCACCUGUGAAGUAUCUGGGAGCCCUUGACAGAUGUUAGCUCUCGAGUCCAAAGGUGUAAGCCCAAAUCUACACCUGUCCAUCUCUUCUCAUCAGCAGGCAUUAGCAGAGCAAUCAAAUUCGUAUGGCUAGCCCCGUAAACCUGUCAGGUUUUAUCCAACGGCUUUUUUUACUCAAAGGCUGCGUUGACUAGCUCUCAGGGAAUGUGGCUUUUGCCUACACCGCGUUGAUGAACUGGCAGACGGCACCUGCAUUCUUCAGAAGUUCUUGUCAUUUCCAAAUUUUUUAUGUAAAAUUGGCACCUCAAGUGUCUCCAUUACAGGGUUGCAUGAUGUGCCGGUACUGAAAAAGUCCCGCAGUACAAAAAUUUUAGAAAAGGUACUAUACCAGCAUUUUACAAAAUUGGAUGCUUGGAUACAAAAACACGGCUGACAUUGCUUUCUAUCAUGGCAAAAUGAUUGCUCUCCGUUGGAAAAUAAAUACUGUGCCUUUAAGAAUUUAAGGGAACAUUGACAUAGUGGGUGUGCGUAGUGGCCUGUGAGUGUGUGUGUGUGUGUGUGUGUGUGUGUGUGUGUGUGUGUGUGUGUGUGUGUGUGUGUGUGUGUGUGUGUGUGUGUGUGUGUGAAGGAAGGCUGGCUGUGUAGCUGUAUCCUCACGGAGGAAGAGAAGUUGGCCAGAUAUAAAGGCAGCAGUAGAUCACAUUGACUGUCCCCAGCUUGUUGACAAAGUAGGGCGCAGACAACAUACGUGUACUUGCAUACCACUUAUGUCAACCCCAUGGCAGCUGUUUGACUACAAUAAUUUGCCCGAAGGAGGGAACACGUCCAUUUGAGCAAAGUGUCUGUCCAACAAA